UGAAUAAACUGGUUUUGCUGUAUGCUGCAGCAGCACGUACGUGCAGUAUUAAUGGAAACAAGAACUAAAGCUGUACUAAGUGCCACGGUAUUGGAGGACAUAAUAUGUAAUGACCAAGAUUUAGGAAUACCUUGCUACAUAAAGUAGUAGCUCUCAUAGUUUUUAGUCCACUAUUCUGUGUUCGAGUCACAUCCUACCAGGACCAUUCUGACUGUGCUUUGAUGCUUUUCAGUACAGAUCUUGAGGCAUUCAUGGCAAAGCCUAGAGCACCCUGAGAAAUGAGGAAAAAGCAGCACCAGCUGAGAUGCCUGUAGAAGCAACAAGAAGCCUCUGCUAAAUAUAAGAAUUUGCUGCAGUUUGUGAUAUGUGUAUUCGGCACACGUUUUCAAAUAAGAGACAGUCUCAAGAAGUUUGAGUAAACUACAUGAAGAAGAGAGAUGCCUAAGCCAUAUUUCAAACACGGAGAAUAAACAAGUAGAAGGUUAUUAUACUUUGGCUAAAGACAACAUCCAUCCAUUCACUUCUUUCUGUAGGAAAGCAUUUUCUGUACUUCAGUACAAUUUGGGAUGCUCUGUUUGUAUCUUAACAACUACUUCAGAGCACUGUAAAAGUAUGUGCUCUUAUGGAGCGCUUUUCCAUGUUCAGACAGCAGUGCUUUACUUCUUGUCUUAAUGAAUGAAAGGGGAUUUGAGAAAUCAGUGUUAACCUCCUGUAUAAUGAUAUGGGGAAAAUAAAGGAAAACAUAGAGGUU
rnacentral:lncRNA from 7 species